AGCAUCAGUGGUUUAGUGGUAAAAUCCAUCGUUGCCAUCGAUGGGCCCCGUGUUCGAUUCACGGCUGAUGCA
rnacentral:tRNA from 1 species